AGGUAGGAGAAUGUCACCCUGUCACUGAUGUCAUAGGGCAGAACUGGGGAUCGAGAGAACAGAAGUCAAGGCAUGGAAAGGGUCAGGUGACUGUCUUGCCCUUCUCACCUCCUUCUCGGGGGACACAGACGGCCCCAUCUAGCUACCAGGAGAGCUGUUUACAUGGAAUCCAAGUUGCCUGCCAGGGGCAGAGCACGUUUUUCCACAGCUGCUGAGAAAGACGAGUGAGUCAAGACAGAAUAACAAAAAGCCACUUCAAAAACACACCAGAAGAAGUACGAAGCUGAGACAAUCACAGGACAAUAGAGCCCAUUGAAGAGGAGCCUGGAGUUGGAGGUAUUGGCUCAAGUCCCUCCGACUGUCAUUCAGUUGCCAUGAGACUUUAGGUAAGUUACUAUCAAAUGAACCACAUCCCUUGCCAAAGUAGGGGCUAAGAUUUUUUUUGUUUUGGUUUGGUUUUUCGAGACAAGAGUAUCUCUGUGUAGCCUUAGCUGUGUUGGAACUCACUCUGUAAACCAGGCUGGCCUUGAACUUAGAACCCAGAGAUCUGCCUGCCCCUGCUUCCCAAGUGCUGGGAUUAAAGGCGUGUGUGAGACAGGGUCUUACAUGGCUCAGGCUGACCGAUAGCUGCCUGUAUAUUUGAGGAUGGCCUGGAGUUCCUGCCUUCACCUCCCAGAUGUUGGGGUCACAGGCAUGCUCAGUUACUUUGGGUUUCGAUUUUCAGUUUUCUUUUUUCCUCUUUUGGAAAGAGGAUCUCAAAGAUGUAGCCCAGACUACAGGUACCCAUGGUGCUGCAUUAGUUUAAAAGGUGAGAUCUCAACCCUUGGGAGGUACAACAGUCAAUCAGUCAAUCAAUUAUCAAUAAAUCAGUGUGAUCCUCAGUGUACCCCGGACAUUUUAAAUUUAACUAAUUGAAUGUGUGGGUGUUCUGCUGCAUAUAUGCAACAGGCCAGAAGAGGGCAUCAGAUCCCCUUAUAGAUGGUUGUGAGUCACCAUGUGAUUGAAGGGCUGGGAAUUGAACUCAGGACCUCUGGAAGAGCAGUCAGUGCUCUUAACCGCUGGACCACCUCGCCAGCCCUAGCAACACUAGCUUUUAAUACUCUUCAAAUGAUUCCAACGUCCAGGCAAGAACCCUGAUCCUCCCAGAACUUCUCGAAGUUUAGCGUGUGCAGGAAAUCAGCUGGUCUGGUACAGCUGUUUGACAUCUGCAGUUCUACUGAAUCCACAGGUGAUGCCCACGACCACACCUGGGAUGAUAUUGUCCCUGUUUAUGUUCCUGUCCUUGUUCCCUCCAAUGACACCGUGGGCAAGCGUUGUCCUCCCGCUCUGUUUUCAUGGGCAUAUCACCUGCCACUUGAAUUCUCAUUGGAUGCUGUGGGUCUGAAUCAGAUAGACAAUCCAAGAGGCUAUCCUGCUCCCGCGGGUAGCCAAGAGGCUUUGUAGCCCAGACUACAUGUACCCAUUGGGGUUGUUUUUUUUGGUUUCUUGGUUUUUUUGGUUUCUUGGUUUUUUUUUUAGUUUCAUAUUUUUAUUUUCUUCUAUAUAACAGAGUUGAAUAUGCUUUUUUUCUUACUUAUUCACUUUACAUCCCACUCAUUGAUCCUCUCCCAGUCACCCCUUCCUGCAAUCCUUCCCUCCAUCCCUGCUCCCCUUCCCCUCUGAGCGGGUGGGGGUCCCCCUGAUAAUUCCCCUACUAGCACAUCGAAUCUCUGUGGGGCUAGGUGAAUCUUCUUCCACUGAGGCCAUACAAGGUAGCCCAGCUAAAAGACUAUGUCUCAUGGACAGGCAACAGCUUUUGGGAUAGCCUCUGCUCCAGUUGUUGGGGACUUACAUGAAGACCAAGCUGCCAAUCCAGCCUGUGUAUACUCUACGGUUGGUGGUUCAGUCUCUGAAACCCCCCAAGGGUCCAGGCUAGUUGACUCUGUUGGUCUUCCUGUGGAGUUCCUAUCCCCUUUGGAGACCAAAAUCCUAUUCUUUCAUAAGAGUCCCCAGGCUCUGUCCACUGUUUGGUUGUGGAUGUCUGCCUCUGUCUGAAUUAGCUGCUGGGUAGAGCCUUUCAGGACAGCCAUGCUAGAUUCCUGUCUGCAAGUAUAACAGAGUAUCAUUAAUAGUGUCAAGGAUUGGUGCUUGGCCAUGGGAUAGGUCUCAAGUUGGGCCGGUUAUUGCUUGGCCAUUCCCUUAGUCUCUGCUCCAUCUGCUGUCCCUGCAUUUCUUGUAGACGGGAUACAUUUUGGGUUGAAUGUUUUGUGGAUGGGUUGGUGUCACUAUUGGAAGAGGCCUUUUUUUUUUUUUUUUUUUUUUUUUGGUUUUUCCGAGACAGGGUUUCUCUGUAGCCCUGGCUGUCCUGGAACUCACUUUGUAGACCGGGCUGGCCUCGAACUUAGAAAUCCGCCUGCCUCUGCCUCCCGAGUGCUGGGAUUAAAGGCAUGUGCCACCAUACCCGGCUGGAAGAGGCCAUUUUUAACUGAGAGAGCUGGAAGGGUCCACAGAGCACAACAGAGUGGCUUUCAAAGCUGUUCCUGCACCCACUUUCUUAUCUCAGUUCUCUCUGUCCCUUGGCAAGUGUGGAUCGUGUCCCCAGGCCUGCGUGUGAGAAAGAUCAGAGUUUAGAAUUAGAGGCUUUUCCAAUGAUGACGUGUACUGUGGGGCCUUAGACUCUGGUCUCACUUGGGCAUGAAGGUGCUCACUUGUGAUCCCAGCACUUGAGACGAAGAGGCAGGAGAAUCCGGAGUUCAAGGUUAUCCCGCAUAGUAAGUUCAAGGCUAAUGGGCUUGUCUUAGUCAGGGUCUCUAUUCCUGCACAAACAUCAUGACCAAGACAAAUUGGUACCAGGAGUGGGGUAUUCCUGUGACAACCUGACCAUGUUUUGGGGAGGACUGUGGAAGGACUUUGGAACUUUGGGCUUGAAGAUCCAUCCGUUGUUAAGAGCUCUGUCGGAUGUUGUGUAGGAGCUUGGAAGAUAAUAUUGAGAACACUGCAGAAGAUGGAGGUCUGGUUUGUGAAAUUUCAGAGGGAAAAUUAAAGACUCUUUUCAGGGCCAUUGCUGUUUUGAUUGUGAAGAUUCUGUAGUUCUGGUUAGCUGGGGCUGAAGAAUCAGCUGUGAUUAACAAGAUACCAGAACUACCAAAGCAAAAACUUUGCAUUACUGGGACUAUUGAUGCUGGUUAGCUGGAGCUAAGAAAUUAGCGGUGAUUAAGAAGAGACCAGCAUCAUUGAGGUGACAUCUUCUGGGAAGUGUUUUCUGAAAGCACAAAGAGGCUGUGUUCCAGAGAUAGCCAAGGUUGUACUCCUGCUGCAGUGGGACUUGGUAAUGUGUAAGGGUCACCCAGGUGGUACUGGUUUUGAAGGCAUGAAGGGGUCACGCAGAGCAGCUGAGGCUUGGCACUGUGAGAGGCCAUGGAAGGCCAUUGGUGAAGGUGCAGCCACAGUUGCAAUUGACGGCCCAGGACUGAAGGGGUCAUGCAGUGUUUUGGAGAUGCCAGUAUCAUGAGAUGACCACCAAGAGUAGCAGCAGCAGUGGAGUCCAGGCAUCUGGAGCCUAGAGGACAACGUGUGUGCUACAAAGGGCAUGGCUGGAGAAGUGACCCAAGCCCUUGGAGGAGCCCAGAAGAUUGUGAGUUGGAUCCCAGACAUUGAAUGGUUAGAGAUUGACUUUUGCUUUUGAUUGUGACUGUGCUCUGAUAUUUUCCCGCUUGAAGGAAGAAACUAUUUUAGUGUAGCCCACAGUUAAGAGAUUUUUAAUUGUAAAAAGACUUAGGAUUUUAGAAGAUAUUGGACAUUUUAAAGGGAUUGACUCUUAAUAUGUAAAGACUGUGGGACUUUUAAAGUUGUUUAGAUCUUGGGGAUGAAUAAGAAAUUAAGGGUUGGGGGCUGGUGAGAUGGCUCAGUGUGUAAGAGCACCCGACUGCUCUUCCGAAGGUCCUGAGUUCAAAUCCCAGCAACCACAUGGCGGCUUACAACCAUCUGUAACAAGAUCUGAUGCCCUCUUCUGGAGUGUCUGAAGACAGCUACAGUGUACUUACAUAUAAUAAAUAAAUAAAUCUUUAAAAACAAAUUUAAAAAAAAGAAAUUAAGGGUUGAGGCUUACUAGUGAUGUGUUUGUGUGUCAGGUUGACGAGGGGUCAAUUGUACUGGCUAGUUUUGUGUCAACUUGACACAGCUGGAGUUACCACAGAGAAAGGAGCUUCAGUUGAGGAAAUGCCUCUAUGAGUUCCAACUGUAAGGCAUUUUCUCAAUUAGUGAUCAAGGGGGAAAGGCCCCUUGUGGGUGGGACCAUCUCUGGGCUGGUAGUCUUGGUUUUAUAAGAGAGCAGGCUGAGCAAGCCAGGGGAGGCAAGCCAGUAAAGAACAUCCCUCCAUGGCCUCUGCAUCAGCUCCUGCUCCCUGACCUGUUUGAGUUCCAGUCCUGACUUCCUUUGGUGAUGAACAGCAGCAUGGAAGUGUAAGCCGAAUAAACCCUUUCCUCCCCAA